rnacentral:rRNA from 1 species
GGCUCAGGACGAACGCUGGCGGCGUGCCUAAUACAUGCAAGUAGAACGCUGAAGAGAGGAGCUUGCUCUUCUUGGAUGAGUUGCGAACGGGUGAGUAACGCGUAGGUAACCUGCCUUGUAGCGGGGGAUAACUAUUGGAAACGAUAGCUAAUACCGCAUAACAAUGGAUGACCCAUGUCAUUUAUUUGAAAGGGGCAAAUGCUCCACUACAAGAUGGACCUGCGUUGUAUUAGCUAGUAGGUGAGGUAACGGCUCACCUAGGCGACGAUACAUAGCCGACCUGAGAGGGUGAUCGGCCACACUGGGACUGAGACACGGCCCAGACUCCUACGGGAGGCAGCAGUAGG